CNCGCCGUAAACGAUGAGUGCUAGGUGUUAGGCCCUUUCCGGGGCUUAGUGCCGGAGCUAACGCAAUAAGCACUCCGCCUGGGGAGUACGACCGCAAGGUUGAAACUCAAAGGAAUUGACGGGGGCCCGCACAAGCGGUGGAGCAUGUGGUUUAAUUCGAAGCAACGCGAAGAACCUUACCAGGUCUUGACAUCCCGAUGCUAUUCUUAGAGAUAGGAAGUUACUUCGGUACAUCGGAGACAGGUGGUGCAUGGUUGUCGUCAGCUCGUGUCGUGAGAUGUUGGGUUAAGUCCCGCAACGAGCGCAACCCUUAUUGUUAGUUGCCAUCAUUAAGUUGGGCACUCUAGCGAGACUGCCGGUAAUAAACNGGAGGAAGGUGGGGAUGACGUCAAAUCAUCAUGCCCCUUAUGACCUGGGCUACACACGUGCUACAAUGGUCGGUACAACGAGUUGCGAGCCGGUGACGGCAAGCUAAUCUCUGAAAGCCGAUCUCAGUUCGGAUUGGAGGCUGCAACUCGCCUCCAUGAAGUCGGAAUCGCUAGUAAUCGCGGAUCAGCACGCCGCGGUGAAUACGUUCCCGGGCCUUGUACACACCGCCCGUCACACCACGAGAGUUUGUAACACCCGAAGUCGGUGAGGUAACCUUUUAGGGGC
rnacentral:rRNA from 1 species